CAUCAAACUCUGUUUUUAUAUUAUAUUUUACAUCUGAAUCUAUAACGGAAUACGUUUAAAACUUUCAACAACGGAUCUCUUGGUUCUGGCAUCGAUGAAGAACGCACCGAAAUGCGAUAAGUAAUGUGAAUUGCAGAAUUCAGUGAAUCAUCGAAU
rnacentral:rRNA from 1 species